AAUGAACGCUGGCGGCGCGCCUAAUACAUGCAAGUCGAGCGAGAAGACGUAGCAAUACGUUUGUAAAGCGGCGAACGGGUGAGGAAUACAUGGGUAACCUACCCUAGAGUGGGGAAUAACUAGCCGAAAGGUUAGCUAAUACCGCGUACGCUCCUUGGACUUCGGUUCAGGGAGGAAAGCGAUGCCGAGGGUAUCGCGCUCUUGGAUGGGCUCAUGUCCUAUCAGCUUGUUGGGAGGUAACGGCUCACCAAGGCUUCGACGGGUAGCUGGUCUGAGAGGACGAUCAGCCACACUGGCACUGCGACACGGGGCCAGACUCCUACGGGAGGCAGCAGUAAGGAAUAUUGCGCAAUGGGCGAAAGCCUGACGCAGCGACGCCGCGGUGGGGGA
rnacentral:rRNA from 1 species